rnacentral:rRNA from 1 species
GAGUUUGAUCCUGGCUCAGGAUGAACGCUAGCGGCAGGCUUAACACAUGCAAGUCGAACGGUAACAGAAAAAGCUUGCUUUUUGCUGACGAGUGGCGAACGGGUGCGUAACGCGUAUGCAACCUACCUUCUUCUAAGGAAUAGCCCAGAGAAAUUUGGAUUAAUACCUUAUGAUAAUAUUUAUUCGCAUGUUUAAAUAUUUAAAACUCCGGUGGAAGAAGAUGGGCAUGCGUAACAUUAGUUUGUUGGUGAGGUAAUGGCUCACCAAGACUACGAUGUUUAGGGGGUCUGAGAGGAUGAUCCCCCACACUGGUACUGAGACACGGACCAGACUCCUACGGGAGGCAGCAGUGAGGAAUAUUGGUCAAUGGACGAAAGUCUGAACCAGCCAUGCCGCGUGAAGGAUGACGGCCCUACGGGUUGUAAACUUCUUUUGUAUAGGAAGAAACCCCUCUACGUGUAGAGGGUUGACGGUACUAUUCGAAUAAGCACCGGCUAACUCCGUGCCAGCAGCCGCGGUAAUACGGAAGGUGCGAGCGUUAUCCGGAAUUAUUGGGUUUAAAGGGUGCGUAGGCGGAAAUUUAAGUCAGUGGUGAAAGCCUGCAGCUUAACUGUAGAAUUGCCAUUGAUACUGGAUUUCUUGAAUCUAAUAGAAGUAGGCGGAAUAUGACAUGUAGCGGUGAAAUGCUUAGAUAUGUCAUAGAACACCGAUAGCGAAGGCAGCUUACUAUGUUAGUAUUGACGCUAAUGCACGAAAGCGUGGGGAGCGAACAGGAUUAGAUACCCUGGUAGUCCACGCCGUAAACGAUGAUUACUCGCUAUUGGCGAUACACUGUCAGUGGCUAAGCGAAAGUGAUAAGUAAUCCACCUGGGGAGUACGAUCGCAAGUUGAAACUCAAAGGAUUGACGGGGGCCGCACAAGCGUGGAGCAUGUGGUUUA